UUUUUUUUUACUUUUUUUAUUAAAUAAAAAACUUUAAAAUAUAAUAAAUCAAAUACAUUUAAAACAUAAAAACAAAUAAAAAAUAAGACUAAAAUAAUUCUUAAAAUAAUACAUAAAUUAAAAAUAAAAUAAAAAGUAAUUAUAUUAAAAUUGAAAAAUUGAAACAAAUUAAAUUAAAUUAAGAACUAAAUUAUAUUAAUAACAAAAGUUUUACAAUAUUAAAAUAACAUUAAAAACAACAAAAAGAGUAAAGUAAAAUACUAAAGUUACUUAAAAUUAAAAAUAAUUUUUUUAAAAAUAAUUUAAUAUUAAAAUCGGACCGGGCUGGGCCGGGCCCGGGCCAAAAAACUUACCCGAGGCCCGGCCCAUUUUCUAAACGGGCCUCGUUUUUUUUCCAAGCCCAUAUUUUGGGCCUAUAUUUUUACCCAAAUCCUCCCAUUUUUCGGGCGCAUGCACACCUCUACCGUAGACUGAUGGUCAGUCUGAGUGUACGAUUCAGAUUCUCAAGGACAUGUUACCGUGUUGUGUCCUUGAAUUUCAGGGUAGUUGGGAAAAAUACUUACCUUUGGUGGAAUUUGCCUACAAAAACAGUUUUCAGAUGAGUUUAAAGAUGGCACCUUAUGAGGCGUUGUAUGGCCAGAAGUGCCGAACUCUGUUGUAUUAGACAGAACUCAAAGAGCACCAAAUACAUGAAGUUGAUUUGAUCAAGGAAACUGAGGAAAAGGUAAAAGUGAUACGAGAUUACUUGAAAGCGGCAAUGGAUAGGCAAAAGUCAUAUGUUGAUUUGAAAAGAAAAGAGAUUGAAUUUCAAGUUGGAGAUAAAGUAUUCUUGAAAGUAUAUCCAUGGGAAAAGGUCUUGAGAUUUGAUCGAAAGGGCAAACUGAGUCCAAGGUUUAUCGGACCAUAUGCGAUUAUCGAAAGAGUUAGACCAUUAGCCUACCGAUUAGCGUUGCCUUCCGAGUUAGAAAAGAUUCAUGAUGUAUUCCAUAUGUCCAUGUUGUGUAGAUAUAGAUCAGACCCCUCACAUGUGAUUUCAUCGACCGAAGCUGAGAUUAGAUCGAAUAUGACCUAUGGUGAAGAACCGGUCAAGAUUUUAGCUCGAGAAGUCAAAUAGUUAAGGAAUAAGAAUAUAGCCUCGGUGAAAGUUUUAUGCAUAGACAUGAAGUUGGAAGAAGCCACAUGGGAACCUAAAAAAGCCAUGAGAAGUCAAUAUCCGAACCUGUUUACUGGUAAGACUUUCGAGGACUAAAGUCCCUGAGUGGGGAGAAAUGUAACAUCCUAAAAUUGGGCCUAGUCGGAAUAAUAAUUUCGGGACCACAAAUCCAACAUUAAAAUAUUUUUUUAUGAUUAUUAUAAAGUCUAGGAUAUGAAAAUAAGCAUGUGUUAAAGUUUCAUGAAGAAGUUCUAAGUAUAAGGUGUCCAAUUGGUAAUUAGGGACCAAAUUGAAUAAGUUGUAAAAUUUUGGUUCUAGAAGAAAUUUGUAUGAAAUUGCUUUGAAUUAUUAAUUAGAAGGUCUUAAAGAUUAAUUUUCCCUAUUUCUAAUUUUUUGAAAAAAAUGGGCAUGCAUGAAAAAUUUUGAAAGGUUAUUAAGGAAGGGUAUUUUGGUCAUUUGGUAAUAAACUAAAUAAAAAGGAAAAAUGAAAGCAAAAAUCAGCCAUUUUUUUUCUCCAUGCUACUGAAAAUUGAAGGGUCACCAUAGCCAGGGUUUUCAACAUUUUCAAGCUCUAUAGUAAGUGCUCCCUAGCCCCGUUUUUAACGUUCUUCGUAUUUUUGAGAUCUCGUAACAUGCUCUCUCUAUUUCUACCCAUAUUUCAAGCUGCGGUUCAUGUUUAGAAAUUUAUCCAUGCAUUAGAUGCUUGCGUUUUGAUGAUUUGUGGAGGAAUAUGAGAGUUUAGAGGAUGGUAAAUAACUUUUACUAAAUAGUUUUUCAUGAAAAUGGCUUAAGGGACCAUUUUGUAAAAGUUAUGAAAAUAGGUAGAAAAUUAUGAAAUGAAAGAAAAUGUGGGCUGCUAUAAGCAAGAAAAAUAUUCGGUUAGGCUUCGAUAACCUAGAAAUUUCAUGCAUUUUAUUAUACGAGCCUAGGGACUAAAUUGUAAAAGUGUGAAAGCUUAAGGGCAAAAUGAUCAUUUUGCCUGAGGGUGAAAUUUAGCCCUAAAAUGAAUAGUGUGAUAUAUUGAUACUUUAUUGUUGCUUAUAUAGACCCCGAGAGACCAACUUCGAAAGUCGACCGAGGAAAAAGGUUUCGGAGUAACCGAAAUUCGAAUCUGAAAAGAUUACCAGGUAAGUUAGCGUAACUCGACUGUAAACUAUUUUAAAUACAUUAAAGAUGUAAGUUCAUGUAUAAAUUAUAAUAUCGAUAUGAAAAAUACAAUAAUUCAUGAAAAAUUGAUGUUACAAUAAAAUGUCCUGGUGGAAUAAAAAGGAUACCUGAUGGAUUUCUCGAAAAUGAAUUAAUGGUAGAAAGGACCUAGCCCGGACGGGUAAUCCUAUAGUGAUCUAACCUCCCGAAGAAUAUGUGUGCUGAAAUGGAUUUAGCCCGGACGGGUAAUCCGGUUAGGAUCUGAAUUUAGCCUGGACUGGUAAUUCAGAUCCGAACUCAUAGGAGUAUAUGUUGUUGUAAGGGAUUUAGCUUGGACUGAUAAUCACGACAUUGCUCUGUGAGUUUAUAUUAUAGGGGAUUAAGCCUCGACUGGUAAUCCCAUCGUAAGAGUAAGGUUCAUGGGAGUGCGUAUUUAAAAUAAUUACUUGCAUGAUUUGACUGUAAAUGAGAUAUCCAUUGAGAUCCCGAGAAAUUCAACGGGUUUAAAAUGAGACAUGAGAAAGGAAAUGCUUGAAUUGAUGAGCUCAUCUAAGGCUAAUGUUAUAAUGUAUUUUCCUGAGACUAACUUGAUGGUCGAGUGUAUGUGAUAGGGAAAUUAUACUAUGCAUGUUUGCAUGAAUAUCUAUUAUGAUUGUAUGCUAAAUAACCGGUAAGUUUACUUUCCCGUUAUCCAAACUUACUAAGCAUGUAAAUGCUUACCCCCUUUCAUCUUCUUUGUCUUACAGAGCUCGCGGACCCGUGAAGAUUGGAAGACAGUUGGAGCAUCAAUCACACUAUCAACUUGUCUUGAUUUGGUAUAUAGAGACUUUUAUUUUGUUAUAAUGGCAUGUAUAAUAUUCUUGGUCAUUUUGUUGUAUGUGUCUUUUGGCUAGCCAAUGUAAGGGCUUGAAUAAUAUACUUAUUCAUCUUGUAUGUGGCAAUGGGAUAUGGCUCAUUUUAAUGUAGGUUGGAAACCUACUAAUUGUGCAUGUUAUGCUUAAAUGUUUCAUGUAAUGGUUAAAUAUGGUAUAUCAUGAAUGGACAUGUGAAAUGUGACCAAAUCACUUGAAGAUGGUUCGGUCAUAAUUGGCAAUGAGUUAUAAAAUGAGCCAAGUAUAAAAUGUGAUUAUUGAAGUGGUAAUCAUUAAUACAAAAAGGAUAACCUAGCAUGUGCUAAACCAAUGAGAUGAGGUUAACAUGCAUUCGACUAUGCCAAAGUGGGUUAUGGACAUAUUUAGACCAUGUUAAAUACCAUUGAAGUUUAUAAAUGUGUAUGGAAGUUAAGGGUGACCAUUGGCUUAGAAAAUAGCCUACAAAAUGGUCCACAUGGGUAGACACACAGGCAUGUGUCUAGGCCAUGUGUGACACACGGUCAGUCCCCAUGGGCGUGUUGUAUGGCCGUGUGUCCCCUGCACCUAGAAUUUUAGGUCAGUAUGCAUGGUAGUAAACACACGGGUAGGGACACAGCCGUGUGUUUCAACCGUGUGGAGGACACAGCCUAGUACACGGGCAUGUGCCUUGGCUAUGUGCCCCUAAAUGGAUGAUGACGUCAUAAACAGAAUGUCUAGGGUUUUGGACACGGGCGAUGACACUAGCGUGUCUAGGCUAUGUGAGGGACACGGGCCAGGGACAUAGGCGUGUGCGCGGCCGUGUGAAAACCCUUUUAGUUUCGAAAUGAAAAAUAAAUUCCAAUAAUUCAACACGGGUAAUAGACACGGGCGUGUCCCAAGCACACGGGUGUGUGCAUUGCCUCCACAUGGGCGUGUGUACAAUUGACUUUGGGCUGAAUAGUGAUGGGGUUCUGUGUUUUCGAGGACGAAUUUGUGUACCGAAUGACUUUGAUUUGAGACAGUCUAUUCUGAGGGAAUCGCAUAGUAGCCCAUAUGCUAUGCAUGCUGGUGGAAAUAAGAUGUAUCGAGAUAUUUGGGAACUGUAUUAGUGGUCGGGUUUGAAACGAGAGGUAACAUAUUUUGUUUCUCGUUGUCUAAUAUGCCAACAAGUUAAGGCUGAGCAUCAGUUGCCUUCGGGUUUAUUGCAACCCGCUAAAAUUCCCUUAUGGAAAUAGGAACAUGUGACUAUGGACUUCGUUAGUGGAACACCUACUAAGAACUAUUCUGUAUGGGUAAUCGUGGAUUGGUUGACCAAGUCUGCCUACUACAUUUCUGUUCAGACAGAUUAUUCUCUUCAGAAGUUGGCCAAGCUAUACAUAUUUGAGAUUAUGAGACUUCAUAAGGUACUGAUUUCGAUUAUUUCAGAUAGAGAUCCUCGUUUUACUUCUUGAUUUUGGAAAAAGCUUCAUGAAGCUCUGGGUUUGUAAUUAGAUUUCAAUACUGCGUUAUAUCCUCAGAUAGAUGGUCAAUUUGAUAGGGUGAUUCAGAUACUUGAGGAUAUGCUUCGGAGUUUUGUGAUUGAUUUCCAAGGUAGUUAGAAGGAUUUUCUGCCAUUAGCUGAGUUCACCUACAAUAAUAGUUUGUAGUCUAGCAUUCAGAUAGCACUUUACGAGGCUCUGUAUAGUCGUAAGUGUCGUACCCCGCUAUAUUGGACUGAGUUGGGUGAAUGACGAGUUUUGGGUCCUAAGUUGGUUUUUGAGACUGAUGAUAAAGUCAAACUGAUUCAGGAUCGUCUUAAAGCGGCUUUUGACAGGCAGAAGUCCUAUGCAGAUUUGAAAAUGAUAGACAUUGACUACUCCAUAGGUGCUUUUGUGUUUGUUUCUUAAGGUAUCACCCUGAAAGAAGGUUUUGCAAUUUGGUUGUAAGGGCAAGUCAAGCCCUAGGUUCAUUGGGCCUUAUUGAAUUCUGAAGCAUGUAAGACUAAUUGCUUAUCAGUUAGAGUUACCUCCGGAGUUAGAUCAUAUCCAUGAUGUGUUUCACGUCUCCAUGUUGAGGCGAUAUUGGUCAGACCCAUCUCAUAUUGUUCCUAUUGAGGACCAGAUUUGACUAUUGAGGAGGAGCUGGUUUAGAUUCCAAAUUAGGAUGUAAAAGUUUUGAUAAGGAAGUCUAUUCCGUUAGUGAAGGUUCUAUGGCAGAAUCAUGGCACUGAGGAAGCCACAUGGGAACUUGAGGACUCGAUUCUUCAACAGUAUCCGCAUCUGUUUGAAUUAGGUAAAUUUCGAGGUUGAAAUUUUUUUAGGGGGUAGAUUUGUAACGCUCUAACUUAUAGAAUCAUGUUUUUAUGAAUUGUCAUUAUUAGUUGUUUGCUUCAGUGGUUAAGUAAUGUGGGUGUGUGUUUGAAGUCUUGGGUUCAAAUCCCACUUUUGGAAAAUUUUCUAUUUUUGUUCAUGGCCUUAUUCUUAAUUGCUUGACUUAAAUUUUAUUUAAAGUUAGCUCAUAUCAGAAUAGGGCUGCUGGUUCAAGUGGUAAGUGUUAGCUUGCCCCGGUGUCUUGUGCUCAAAUCCUUAAGUGAGUGUUUGGUAAUAAUUUUUGCUUUUGUGUGUACCGAUUGUGUAGUAGAGGUUAGGUGGAAUUAAAAUUCUAUGGUAGUGUAUGAGAGUUAGUGGAUCAGUUUUGGUGGGAUUUGUUAAUUAGUGGGAUAGUGUGGAGUUGGGAUAUUAUUUGAUUUAAUUUUUAAAAUUUUAAUUUAAUUCUUUUUCCCAAAAUUCUUUUCUUUUUGAUGUUUGUUUUUCUCUUUUCUUUUCUCUAUCAAUUUUUUUUGGCUUCUUUCUUGAUUUUACUCACAAAUCUUCUGUUCAAAUCGCUGUGAUUCAAAUUCCUGGUGUUCUUCGUUCGGUUGUUAAGUGGGGUUUUGUUUAUUUUUAGCUUUUGAUUUCUGUAAGUCCGUUUUAAGAUCUUCCUUUUUGAGAUGGUGUAAUGGUGUUAUAGUUUACGGAAUUUAAUUUCUGUGAAUGUGUUGUGUAGGAAAAGAUUGUGAAGCAGUGGAUUUCACACCAACGGCCUAAUUCGUGUGUGUGACUGUUUCGUUAGCGGUAAGUUUGUGUGCAUUGUUCGAUUUUGAAAGGUUAAGUUCGGUUAGUCUUGUUGAAUUCAUAACUUGAUUGCUAAAAUAGUUGUUGGGAUGCUAUUUUUAGGUUUCAGAGGUCUUGGGUUGUUUUUGCAUCAAAAUCGAGCCAGAUGUGUAACGAAAAACUCGAAAAAUGGCAAUCGGCGAAAGCUAAAAAUUGGGCUUGUCGACACCACACGGUCGUGGGUAGGGCGUAUGUGACACAUGACCGUGUGACGGGUGUGUGUGAGGCUGUGUGUGUAACACAUAGUCUAGGUCAUUUAGGCCCGUAUGGGCCAUACGGGCUGUUGGCUGUGUGCCAGGCCAUGUGGGCCCAAAUUUCAGAAUUUACCUUAAGGUUGUACACGUCAUUUUAAUCGAUUGUGGGGCCUUCCGUAGGGUUAGUACGUGUGGUAUGAGUUGUAAAGCAUGAAAUUUGCCUCUCUGUUAGAUUGAAAUUGAUGAAAAUAACAUCUACGUGAGUAUUGUGUAAUAUGAUGUGCAUGAGUUGUUCUGUAUGUAAGAGCAUGUUUAGCACCUGUUAUACGAGCAUGCAUGUGAUAUUCUGUCUAUAUUUAGCUAUGGGGUGGGAUUUAUAUUAUGAGGAGGAAGUGUUCUGUAUGAGGCGACAUAUUGCCAAUAUACUGGAAGCAUUGCUGCGAUUAUUCUGAAAAGUGUCAUAUAGACACUAUGUAGUGUAUAGGGCUGGGUGGAUGUUUUAUACCCUACGUGAUGUGUUGCGAUGGUCGGAGUUGGUGUGUAGAGGAUGGUGGUAGGACUAUGUAUAUAUGUUUCUGUACGAUUCUAUAUGAUACUGAUUCUGUGAAAGUUCUAUUUCUAUAUUUGUUCUGUAUAUGGUUAAAAUCUGAAUGGUGUUUACGUUUGCAUUGCACAUUGAGUUAUAAAACGCAUUCUCUAUUUUUCUGUUCUAUUCAAGUAACCCUCAGACUUAGGCAGGUCGGUGCGAUAGAAACUAAGAUGUGACCACUUUUCCGUAAAAAUGCUUUUUCAUAAAAAAAUUUGCUUAAUUUUCUAAUGAGAUUUUUGUAGUUUUGAAACUUUCCGGACUUUUUGGAAUUGUUUUUGGUUUUGGAUUUUAUUUUAGUUUACUAGCAUAACAACAGAUAAAAUUGUUUUAUUGAAAACGACAACUUUUCUGAACUAACAGUUUUCUAAGAAACAGUUUAAUUUGCCAAAAUUAAAACGUUUUGAAGAAACUCCGCUGCAAAACAUUCAAUUUAAUAGAAAUACGUAAACAAGAAAUGAUUUUAAAUCAAAUAAGCAUAUCAAUAAGUUUUCUAUACAAAUCAGACUUACUAGGUAAUAACGGUUUACGUUGAUUUGUAAAUAACAAGGAAGUCGUUUUAUAAAUUUUCUUUGUAACACUUCCAGAUUUGGCCAAAACGUCUAGGCUGAGUUUGGGGUGUUAUAGUAACAACUCCCAACACAAUUAAUUUGUAGAGUGAAAGUUUUGAUUAUCAUGAUAGUUACCUAACAACACAAAUUCGUUGCAAAAAUUAAACUCAUACCGUAACCUAAUCAACAACUCACCCUAUUAAAGAAACUCUUGAUAAAAACCACCAAAGAAAAAGAAAAGAGUGAAAAAGAAUACCAAUCGAACAAAACUAAAACUUACCCACUCGUAUAAGCACUGAACGCAAAUUAAAGAAAAGGAUCUAAAGCACAAAAGCUUCGUGCAAGAACAGUCUUGGAAGCAGAUUCAAAAAGUAAAGAAAAAAAAACAAUCUGAAAAGAAAGAAAAGCCAAAAAAUAAGAACAAAUAAAGAAACAAUUUGAAAAACAAAACCCCACUUGAUAGAAGCUUGAAACAUGGGAUAGAGAUUUUAGGGGAAAAAUAUUAUUAUUUCAAAAUAAAACUAAAAUCCUAACCACUAACUUCUUGAUAACACACUAUCUUUUUAAAGAGUUUUAAUCAAAUUCCAACACCAACAACUUGGAUAGCACACUAAGGGUUAGCAAAAAUAAUUUCAAUUUUGCUCUUGUAUUGACUUAAAUACUAAACCCCAAAGUAAACUAACAAACAUCUUACCAUCAAACCAACAAGUUUAUUCUAAUAUAAAUUGACCGAAAAUAAUAUUUAAGCCCAACGAGCAAAGUUAGGCCUAGGAACAAACAUAAUUGAAUUUUUUCCAAAAGAAUCUGACUUGAACCAAGACCUCAAACAUAGAAUUAAGGCACUUAACCACUGAUACAUAUACUUAAUUAUAAUAAAACCUAACAAAUCAUUAUAAAAAUUUUGGGGCGUUAUAGCAUAAAUAAUAAGAUUUGUCAACUCGACUCGAAAUUUGUUUACUCAAUUCGAGAAAAAUUCAAAUUAAGUUCGAUUUCUAAAAUAAGAUUCGUCAGCUCGACUAACUCAAAAUGUUUUUACUUAUUCGAUUUGACUCGAUCGAAUACUCACUCCUAUAUAUGUCUGACCAAACAAAAGCCAAACUGAUUUGGAAAGAAUCUGACAAAACCUAUAUUAAACAUAUGCACAUAAUCGGAGAGAGACCCACAUAUUGCUAUUGCAAAUGGUGGGACUCAAACCUAGGCCUUUAAGGUUUGGGGCUACAACCUGUUCCAUCAGUGUCAAGUUCUCAUUGGCAUUAAAAGUGACACUUAAAAUUUCAAUUUUGUCUCAUUUUGCCCCAAAAUACAAUAUCCACUAACAACAACGUGACACGUGGCAUAUUUUUACUAGACGUCGUAUACUUUUUAAAUAAAAUGAAAUAAAAUUAAUAGUUUAAAUACCAUUUUUAGCCAACAAUAUCUUGAUUUAGUGGAAAUAGUAUUUAUGUCGUGGCAAAAGAACUUUUAUUCAAUCCCAACCAACACCAUCUCUAUCCUCAAUUAUAAAAAAUACUUUUUAGAAAAAAAAAUUAAGUAAAAAUAUAAAUGCCAAUUUUACAUUUAAUCCUUCUUUUUUAUGGGACUUCUCCAAGAGCAAAAACCAUUUCUCAUGUUGGCUUUCAAAGUGAAAAUAAUAAUAUAGAAAAGAAAGUUGGAAGAUGAAAUCCAAGUUACUAAUGAUACUUUGCUAGGAUAUCGAAAAUUUCGAAUGGAUAAAAAAGCCUCUUCAAUAUAUAGCAUGUGAUAUAAUAAAUUUAACAUUAAUAUUUUUAGCUUAAUGGUAUAAAUAUCGUCAGAAGAAUUUCAGAAAAAAAAAUAAUCAAUCAAUAUCAUUCGAAUUUUUUUCAAGUUUUUAAAUUGACGAUUUUAAUCAAUGGGAUAUUUUGACCAAAGUUGAUUGUUAGAAACUAAUAGUAAUGUUGACAUCACCGUUAAUGGUUACCACAUCAGUCAAUAAAUACUGACAUGAUGGUCCACAUCAGCACCUAUGUUAACAAAAAAAGAAGAAGCUUAUUUUCAGAAUAAAUUUAAAGUGCACCUCAACUAUGGUUGUCUAAAUUCAUUUGAAUCUAAAUACUCAUUUAUCCAAAUUCAUUCUAAAACUAUAAAAAUUAUUAAAAAUUAUAAAAAAUAUUAAAAAACAUUAGAAAUUAUAUUCAUUUUAAAAUCAUUAAAAAUUAUAAAAAGCUAUUAAAUUUAUAAUUGAACCAUAUUUGUAACAUCCCGAGAUGUGAAUAAUGGCAAUUCAGGUUGACACGUGUUCAAGGUUUUCAAAGUAGACAAAAUAAAAUUGUUAAUAUGAGUAAUUGAGCAUUGUAAGAAAUUAGGAAGACUUUUGAAUCUAGGAAAAAUUAAUUUAAGGAAUGGAUUAAAUUGUAGAAGUGUGAAAAGUGUUGGGCCAUAGUGUGAAAAUUAAAAAUAAGAAAUGACUAGAUUAAACGGAUGAGAAAAGGGGAAGGACUUAAUGAGCAAAUUGACCAUGAUGGUACAUGGAAAUGAUGAUAAUUAGACUUCAUUUUAAUUUAAUACUAAAAAAAGAUAGAUAUAUUUUUUUAUGGAAACUUGGAGAAACAUCUCCACCAUUCUCUUCUUCACAUGCCACCAUCAUAUCAAAGAAGAAAACGUUGCUUUCUUCUUCACUUUGGUCCUUUUUCUCCAUAGCUAACAAGAAUCACUUCAAACUUAAAAUUUCUCCAUAAAUUGUUAGUGUAAGUACCCAAAUUUAUCCGAGCCCAAAACCAUUAACCAGCCCAAACAAUUAAAAAAAAUAAAAUAAUAAAGACAAAAAACCAAAAUUAAAAUAGUCUAUUUACAUCAGCCCAUUAAUUAAACCUAGCCCAAAAAUACAAGGCCCAAGUGGCCCAAAAUCAAAAAACUUUCGGAAACCCUAGGUUUCCUUGGUGCGCCGCAGCCAACACUCCCAUGUACGGCCUCCGUGCGCUCACAGCUGGCCCCGUACCCCGUACCUGCAAACAAACGAGAGAACGACAGCAAAAACAAGAAGAAAAAUUUUAUUUUUAUUUUUGGAUUUCGGCUAUAGAGCCAAAGACAAUGUAUUGAUCUUUUUUUACAAACGCAUACAAAGCAACCAAAAAUUCAAAAGGUGAUUCCCGAUUCAAAAUUCUUAAUGCUUUUGAUUUUCUCUCGAAUUUUUUUCUUUUAGUCUUUCGAUUCUCGCAUUUGAAAACAAAAAAGAAAAUGAAAACGAAGUUUUACCGUAAGUCCACCAUGAGAUCCUUUUUGUUUUGCCCAAGUCGAGGUAUAAAAGAGAUCUUAAGGCUAAAAGAGAACCUUGAACAUGUUGAUCGUUGUUUCCAGUGGCGAAUCGACAUUCGAGAGGAAGGUUUUAAGGUUCGACUGAGGGAGAUGAAAUGGGAGGCUAGGGUUGUGUUUUUGGUUUGGCCAACUGAGUCAUUUGAGGCCUUUAUAAGAGAUCAGAAACGGUGCCGUUUACGGGAAGGGGGAUCCGCGCGUCAACCCGCUCCAUGACCCGGAUCCGCCUUUUUGUUCACCAAAUGGGAGAUUUACGCGGAUAGUCCUUCCGUUUAGCACAGACUUUUUAAUCAGUCCUAAUUCGCAUUUUAUUUGUUUUAAAUUUUUCCUAAAGUUUGCGUGGCAUUUCAAUUUAGCCCACGCCUAAACGCUGUGCUUUGAGAUCUAGAAUAUUUCCAGUUUUGAUCCCUGCAUAUUCGCGCGCAUUGCGC
rnacentral:lncRNA from 1 species